CUCUCCUGUGCCUGGGGAAGCGGUGGUCAGGACUGCUGCCAGGCCCUGGCAAGGGAGCUUUGUCCUGCACUCCUAUGAGUCCUGUCCCUUCGUGAAUUAUUGGCCGUCCAUGUGUUGGAAUCCUUACAGCACCAGAGGAGUCUCUGGCCCCGUGUGGACCUCAGGUGUAGAAGUUCCUCUCAGACUGUGUCUGACAACCCUCAUUGCCCACCUGUUCCUGCACCCUGUGUGGAAGAAAGUCAAGCCUUGGGACAAAGCCAGGUCCUGGAAGGUCCAGUUGUUGGCUCCGUAAUGGACGACAGGUACCAGGCAGCGUACCUGCUCUGUGAAUUUUCUGCCAGCGCAUGGAUGUGACCUGCCUGCAGAUACACUCCACGUGUCUGUGCUUCCUGGGAAACACCCUACUGCUUCCUUUGCUGGAGUCUGACAGGGAGAUAAACAGAGCGAGGGAGAAAGAUGGAGGUGUUUUCAAUGGUUACCAAGUUUGGAUUAGUUACAGUUUUAUUAAGAAUUUUGCAAAGGAUAGAAAAAAGCAAAGAUGCAUUGUGGACUGUAGGUUUUUCCUGGAGCUGUCUGAAGCUGCACUGUAGAUGUUAAAAUUAUCAAGGCACUGGUUCUGUGGCACUAACAUAGAUUUAAUCAUAGCAUUGGCCAGAUCCAAGUCCUUGGUUGCUUCAUGUAGUUACAUGAAGCACCUGUGCUCAAAGGAGGAAAUUUUGGUUACGUUGCCCUGCAGUUGAUAUUGGAUAAUUUUUCUCAGGUUUGGAAAAUAAGGUCUCAGCUCAGUGCUGGUAAAAUACUGCUAUUUCUUAUCCCUGCCUUCCUGUUGUACUGCAGGGUGUAGCUUCCGGAGUGCUCCAUAACCUGUAGUGCCACAGGUGACACAAACUGAGCAAAGCAGCAUUUUCAGUGCUAGGGCAUGCCAUUGCUUUAGUUUAAUACAAGAAGUAGCAAGGCAGGCCCUUCAUACAGGUUUUAAAGCUUAUCCUGCAAGUAAUAGGGUGGGGUUUGGGGUAUUUUCCUGGAGUUUAACAGUUUUUAAAAAAUCUGUAUUGGAAAAUGGGUCCCCUUUGCCAAACCUCCAGCCCAGAUAUACAGGGAGAUGUUUACCGUACCUUUUGUUAUAAAGUUUUCAAGUAAAGAUUUUCACUCACUA